UUUGUAGACCGGAUGGUCGCUGAGCCACCGGGCGAUCCGCCACCAGAGCGUCGGCGGAUUCGUCCACACGGCGCGUUGCGCCGUGAGGCGAAGAGGAAAGUCCGGGCUCCACGAGUGAGCGUGGUGGGUAACGCCCAUCGUUUGUCGGUCGAAAUGCGUGACCGGCAGAUAGGAUCCCGCCGCAAGGCGGCCCGCCGCGAUUUUUGGCGGGAGAGCUACAGAGACGAGUCCUUCGAUUCGUCGAAGGGGUGAAACGAGCAAUCUCCACGCGGAGCAAGGUUAAAUAGGGGAAGAAUCGAGCACACUCGCUCGUCAACAUUCCCGGGUGAACCGCUUGACCCUGCCAGCAAUGUCAGGGCUAGAUGGAUGAUCAUCCUUCGCCCUUGGGCGAAGACAGAACCCGGCUUAUAGGUCUGCAGAAAAA
rnacentral:RNase_P_RNA from 1 species